CCUACGGGAGGCAGCAGUGGGGGAUAUUGGACAAUGGGGGAAACCCUGAUCCAGCGACGCCGCGUGAGUGAAGAAGUAUUUCGGUAUGUAAAGCUCUAUCAGCAGGGAAGAAAGAAAUGACGGUACCUGAGUAAGAAGCCGCGGCUAAAUACGUGCCAGCAGCCGCGGUAAUACGGGGGGGGGAAGCGUUAUCCGGAAUUACUGGGUGUAAAGGGAGCGUAGACGGUAAUGCAAGUCUGGAGUGAAAGGCGGGGGCCCAACCCCCGGACUGCUCUGGAAACUGUGUAACUGGAGUGAGGGAGGGGUAAGCGGAAUGCCUAGUGUAGCGGUGAAAUGCGUAGAUAUUAGGAGGAACACCGGUGGCGAAGGCGGUUUACUGGACCGUAACUGACGUUGAGGCUCGAAAGCGUGGGGAGCAAACAGGAUUAGAUACCCCAGUAGUC
rnacentral:rRNA from 1 species